GUGGGGAAUAUUGGACAAUGGGCGAAAGCCUGAUCCAGCCAUGCCGCGUGUGUGAAGAAGGUCUUCGGAUUGUAAAGCACUUUAAGUUGGGAGGAAGGGCAGUAAGUUAAUACCUUGCUGUUUUGACGUUACCGACAGAAUAAGCACCGGCUAACUUCGUGCCAGCAGCCGCGGUAAUACGAAGGGUGCAAGCGUUAAUCGGAAUUACUGGGCGUAAAGCGCGCGUAGGUGGUUUUGUAAGGUGGAGGUGAAAUCCCCGGGCUCAACCUGGGAACUGCCUCCAAAACUGCAUGACUAGAGUACGGUAGAGGGUAGUGGAAUUUCCUGUGUAGCGGUGAAAUGCGUAGAUAUAGGAAGGAACACCAGUGGCGAAGGCGACUACCUGGACUGAUACUGACACUGAGGUGCGAAAGCGUGGGGAGCAAACAGGAUUAGAUACCCCAGUAGUCC
rnacentral:rRNA from 1 species